GAUGUACACCCCGCUUGGAACAGGGCAGUGGAAAAACAAACAGCUUCGCAGGAGGAGAUGGAGUCUAAACACCAGCUCAUUUCACCCGCCCCUUGUUGAUCACCCAAGCACGUGUCCGCCUCCGGGUCUGACUCUAGAUUUUCCUGCACCAACUACCUGUGAUCCACUUCACCUGUUUUUGAGGGUGUGAGGACUGUUCCAGGAGCUAUGAUGGCUAGUGAUUGUUCAAACCUGACAUCGUAGAUUGAGCCCACCUGACAUCACUCCCCCCCAUAACUGGUUACCUCCCCCUACCCGGGGAGUGAAGACUGCUGACCUGGCCUGCCUAUCGAUGUUUUCCACGCAUGGUGGGGUGUUGUUCCAGGACAUCGCUUCAGACAGGUGAGGCAGGUGAAUGUGCCAGCCUGAUGUCAUUCGCCCUGUAACUGGUAACCUACAUAC